rnacentral:pre_miRNA from 1 species
AUUCUACUUCCUCCAUCCGGAAUUACUUGUCAUCAAAAUGGAUGAAAAUAAAUGUAUCUAGAACUAAAAUACAUCUAGAUACAUCCAUUUCAAUGACAAGUAUUUCCAGACGGAGGGACUACAAC